rnacentral:rRNA from 1 species
GACGAACGCUGGCGGCGUGCUUAACACAUGCAAGUCGAACGGAAAGGCCCUGCUUUUGUGGGGUGCUCGAGUGGCGAACGGGUGAGUAACACGUGAGUAACCUGCCCUUGACUUUGGGAUAACUUCAGGAAACUGGGGCUAAUACCGGAUAGGAGCUCCUGCUGCAUGGUGGGGGUUGGAAAGUUUCGGCGGUUGGGGAUGGACUCGCGGCUUAUCAGCUUGUUGGUGGGGUAGUGGCUUACCAAGGCUUUGACGGGUAGCCGGCCUGGGAGGGUGACCGGCCACAUUGGGACUGAGAUACGGCCCAGACUCCUACGGGAGGCAGCAGUGGGGAAUAUUGCACAAUGGGCGGAAGCCUGAUGCAGCAACGCCGCGUGCGGGAUGACGGCCUUCGGGUUGUAAACCGCUGUCGCCUGUGACGAAGCGUGAGUGACGGUAAUGGGUAAAGAAGCACCGGCUAACUACGUG